rnacentral:rRNA from 1 species
UGAGGAAUAUUGGUCAAUGGGCGAGAGCCUGAACCAGCCAAGUCGCGUGAAGGAAGACAGUCCUAAGGAUUGUAAACUUCUUUUAUACGGGAAUAACGGGCGAUACGAGUAUUGCAUUGAAUGUACCGUAAGAAUAAGCAUCGGCUAACUCCGUGCCAGCAGCCGCGGUAAUACGGAGGAUGCGAGCGUUAUCCGGAUUUAUUGGGUUUAAAGGGUGCGUAGGUUGUUCGGUAAGUCAGCGGUGAAACCUGAGCGCUCAACGUUCAGCCUGCCGUUGAAACUGACGGGCUUGAGUUCAGUGGCGGCAGGCGGAAUUCGUGGUGUAGCGGUGAAAUGCAUAGAUAUCACGAGGAACUCCGAUUGCGAAGGCAGCUUGCCAUACUGCGACUGACACUGAAGCACGAAGGCGUGGGUAUCAAACAGG